rfam:Bacillus sp. MTM 13 12, whole genome shotgun sequence.
UUCAGUGAAUCAAAGACUAAGAACGCCGCGUCCUGCGGCAGCGUCUUUGCGACCCCCAUCCUGGGGG